AAGCGGGGGCAACCCCGUGAGUAAAGUGGCGACCGGGUGAGUAACACGUGACUAACCUACCCUCUGGCGGGGAAUAACCUCGGGAAACCGGGGCUAAUACCGCAUAACAUCCGCGGGUGCAAUUCCUGCGGAUCAAAGGAGCAAUUCGCCGGAGGAGGGGGUCGCGGCUGAUUAGCUAGUUGGCGGGGUAACGGCCCACCAAGGCUUUGAUCAGUAGCCGGCCUGAGAGGGCGCACGGCCACACUGGAACUGAAACACGGUCCAGACUCCUACGGGAGGCAGCAGUGGGGAAUUUUGCGCAAUGGGGGAAACCCUGACGCAGCAACGCCGCGUGGAGGAUGAAGUCCCUUGGG
rnacentral:rRNA from 1 species